ACCCUUUCAUCAUAUUUUCAUAAACACUGUCAGGGCUACUUCUUGACUAUUCCUUUAAAAUAUUAUUUCGAUUAUCAAAUCUUAUGUGAAAACCUGAAGGAAAAAAACCAUAAACCUGUUCUUUCCUCUAACAAAACCUGGCCUGGGUUCUGCCAAGAACAUCUAGAAGUCAUUAAAAAUAGCACAGUUCUUUAUUUGGACUCAAUUGACUUGUACUUUUGUAGACCUGUCAAAACGUUAAAUAAUAAAUUGUUGUCUCUGAAUAGAUUCAUCUUUGCCCAAGAUACAGUCGAAAACAUGUUUUAGAUGAGUCAUUUAACUGGAAUAAUCUUCCUUCGGAUUACUGGAGUCAUUGGGGAAAAAAAUACAAAAUCAUUACCUAUAGAUUGAUCUCAGCUUUCAGAUGGCCUUUGACAAAGGAAAACAUCCAUUUCACAGAAAGAGAAUGCAUUUCAAAUGUUUUGCCAAUGCACACCUUAAUUAAAGCAAAGUCAAGGUCUGAAGAUGGGGAAGUCCAAGAUUGAGGGGCCAGCAUCUUAAAAUGACCUUCUUACUCCAUCAUCCCCUGGCACAAGGCAGAAGAGCAAGAGAGGGCGAGAGAAUGCUGCCACAUGAGGAUGCAAUAUCUAGAGUUACAGUAGACAUCUACAACCAUAAUGAGAAUGAGAAGCCUGAGGACGCAAGCCUCACCCUGAGGAUGAAAGAGUAAAGACAGGCCAGGCACGGUGGUGGCUCACGCCUGUAAUCCUAGCACUUUGGGAGGCCGAGGCAGGCAGAUCACUUGAGGUCAGGAGUUCAAGACCAGCCUGGUCAACAUGGUAAAACCCUGUCUCUACUAAAAACACAAAAAUUAGCCAGGCAUGGUGGUGCAUGCCUAUAAUGCCACAGCUACUCAGGAGGCUGAGGUGGGAGAAUCACUUGAACCCAGGAGGCGGAGGUUGCAGUGAGUGGAGAUCACGCCACUGUACUCCAGUCUCAGCUAAAGAGUAAGAUUCCAUCUCAAAAUAAAAAAGAAGAGAAAGGACA
rnacentral:lncRNA from 13 species